UUCCAGCUCUUAUUGUGGGCCUUUAUUCUGCAAAGAAGGCUGCAGUGCCAGCGGAGCUGACUGCCAGUGCCAAGUGUGUGACUGACAUAACGUAUGGAGGUAAUUGCAGCAAAGCACAUCAUCUGAUCUUGAGAACCCAGCAGCCAUUCAGAGGAGCUCCAACCUACAUCCUCGUGCCAUUCCCCACCUCCCGCCACUGUCAGUGGCUUUGAGCAGCUCCAAUCCAUCUACACCCUCUGGCAAUGGCAGCCUCUUAACAGAAGAGCUCAGUCUGUGCCCUUUGACAAGUUUCUUCACCACCACAAGGCUGCACGUUCCUCUGGUAGCCACACACCUUCUUCGAUCAGGGAUUUGCCCUGUACCCCAGGCUAGAGUGCAGUGGCACAAUCAUAGCUCACUGCAGCCUCAAACUCCUGGGCUCAAAGGAUUUUCCCACCUCAACCUCCCAAGCAGCUGGGACUACAGGUAUGAG
rnacentral:lncRNA from 10 species